UACGGAGGGAGCUAGCGUUGUUCGGAAUUACUGGGCGUAAAGCGCACGUAGGCGGCUUUGUAAGUUAGAGGUGAAAGCCCGGGGCUCAACUCCGGAACUGCCUUUAAGACUGCAUCGCUUGAAUCCAGGAGAGGUGAGUGGAAUUCCGAGUGUAGAGGUGAAAUUCGUAGAUAUUCGGAAGAACACCAGUGGCGAAGGCGGCUCACUGGCUCGACACUGACGCUGAGGUGCGAAAGCGUGGGGAGCAAACAGG
rnacentral:rRNA from 1 species